rnacentral:lncRNA from 1 species
UGAUUCUGUGUACGGAUCAUAGAAGUGGUGAUGCCUUUCCCUUUCCCUUUCCCUUUCCCUUUCCCUUUCCCUUUCCCUUUCCCUUUCCCUUUCCCUUUCCCUUUCCCUUUCCAUCUCCUUCUCCCUGGUUUUCAGAGCCACAUGAGCACUAAAGGAGGUGAACUAUGUUGACAGACUUGGAGAUGAAUAUGGAGCCAAGUAUACUAAUAAGCGCUCCACAUAGGCAGAGAGAGCCUUCUGCCCUCUGACUUGAGGUUUGGGGCUGAUUCUAAUGUGAGCUCUGUCCACAUCAUGAGAAUGAGUUUCAUUACUGCUGUCAGCGAAGAAGAUGUAAUUACCCACAGAACACUAAUAAUGCACCUGCCCCGCUAGGGCUGAAACUCUAGACCUGAUUUUCCUUCCUUUCAUAUACCUGGGGAUCAGUUUAUAUGCAACAAAAUUAGCAUUCCAGGUUAAAAAAACAACAAAAAAAGACCACUUUCACAGUCAGUUGGUUUACAAUAAAGGUAAUGCUUGUAACCAUGCUACCGAAGAGUUUCAGGCCUUUCCUCAUGUCUUUUUUAAGCUUCUCUUCCCCCUGGCCCCUGGUCUGGCUCCUGGCAGGCAUGGAGCUUAGUAGAGCUGCGGUCUUUGACAAUUAGACCAUUGUACUAAAGCUCUCCACAGCCUUGUUCUCCUUCAGACGAGCACAGGCUACUUCUCCUGUAGCCUCCGUAAGUGGUUAUUUGAGUUAGAUCCAUCUAAGGCUUCCCAGUUCUGUGUUUCUCCGUACAUAUUUCAUCAUGAAGACUCAGUAAAAUGGAAUAUCCCCCAGAAGGCAAGCAGCAAAGAAAAUCCACUGGACUUGCUUGUUCCUUGGGAUCCAAGCUAGACAUCUAGAAGAGAUUUUCAAAAUCAAUGUUUAAAACAAGCUUGCUGGUUAACCCUAAGGCUGACUACAUGGCACGGUGCUGGGAAAAUAGCUUUUUUCCAUGUACACUUUUACUGAUAGUUUAAAUACAAUAAACAUGUUCUUAAAAAGUGUUAAUAUGUUCUCUAAACACAAGCUAUUUUCCCCAUAGAGGCAGGCUAUGCAGAAGUUGGUAUGAGAAAUCCACACUGACACUAUAGAACUUGAAGGCAAAUAACGCUUGCAACUCCUGGAAAAUUCACUUAGGGAAAAAGCAUGUCCUAGAAAUCUUUCUUCCACCCAGAAAUACUCAGUUUUUAGGCAAGCUCUUUUAGCAUUUCAGAAUUGUCACUUCAAAAUGUUGAUACCAUUUUUCUUUUAUUCUUUUACUUGCAUAUAUGAUAUUUUUAGUUGUUUCAUUACUUCUUGAUACUAGGGACAGCCGAUACUGACAUGCUAUAAUAGAUUUUAAAUAUCUUUUAGUUUUUUAGUUGAAUUUUUUAUUUUUUUUUUAGAGUAGUGGCUCCUGUCUGUGUGGCAAUGAAACAGCUUUAUAUA